CAGGGAAUAUUGGGCAAUGGGCGCAAGCCUGAUCCAGCAACGCCGCGUGGAGGACGAAGGUCUUCGGAUCGUAAACUCCUGUCAGGUGGGACGAAGGUAGGUGGGUGAACAAUCCAUCUGCUUGACGGUACUACCAGAGGAAGCCCCGGCUAACUCCGUGCCAGCAGCCGCGGUAAUACGGAGGGGGCGAGCGUUAUUCGGAAUUAUUGGGCGUAAAGGGCGCGUAGGCGGCUUCUUAAGUCAAAGGUGAAAUCCCUCGGCUCAACUGAGGAACUGCCUUUGAAACUGAGGAGCUUGAGUCCGGGAGGGGGUAGCGGAAUUCCCAGUGUAGCGGUGAAAUGCGUAGAUAUUGGGAGGAACACCAGUGGCGAAGGCGGCUACCUGGACCGGAACUGACGCUGAUGCGCGAAAGCGUGGGUAGCAAACAG
rnacentral:rRNA from 1 species